rnacentral:rRNA from 1 species
UGAGGAAUAUUGGUCAAUGGAGGCAACUCUGAACCAGCCAUGCCGCGUGAAGGAAGAAUGUCCUACGGAUUGUAAACUUCUUUUAUUUGGGAAGAAACCCUUGCUCGAGUAGCGAGGCUGACGGUACCAAAAGAAUAAGGACCGGCUAACUCCGUGCCAGCAGCCGCGGUAAUACGGAGGGUCCAAGCGUUAUCCGGAAUCAUUGGGUUUAAAGGGUUCGCAGGCGGUUUAAUAAGUCAGUGGUGAAAUCUCGGGGCUCAACCUCGAAACUGCCAUUGAUACUGUUAGACUUGAAUACAGUUGGAGUAGGCGGAAUGUGUAGUGUAGCGGUGAAAUGCUUAGAUAUUACACAGAACACCGAUAGCGAAGGCAGCUUACUAAACUGUUAUUGACGCUCAUGAACGAAAGCGUGGGGAGCGAACAGGAUUAGAUACCCUGGUAGUCCACGCCGUAAACUAUGAUUACUCGAUAUUGGCGAUAUACGGUCAGUGUCUAAGCGAAAGUGAUAAGUAAUCCACCUGGGGAGUACGGUCGCAAGAUUG